AACUAACGCUGGCGGCGUGCCUAACACAUGCAAGUCGUACGAGAAAGUCGGCUUCGGCUGAUGAGUAAAGUGGCGCACGGGUGAGUAACGCGUGGAUAAUCUGCCUUUUAGUUGGGAAUAACGUACCGAAAGGUGCGCUAAUACCGGAUAAUACUGCAUAACUACUGUUGUGUAGUCAAAGAAGGCCUCUGUUUACAAGCUUUUGCUGAAAGAUGAGUCCGCGUACCAUUAGCUAGUUGGUAGGGUAAUGGCCUACCAAGGCUACGAUGGUUAGCUGGUCUGAGAGGAUGAUCAGCCACACUGGAACUGAGACACGGUCCAGACUCCUACGGGAGGCAGCAGUGGGGAAUAUUGCACAAUGGAGGGAACUCUGAUGCAGCGACGCCGCGUGAGUGAAGAAGGUCUUCGGAUCGUAAAACUCUGUCCUUGGUGAAGAAAAGGACGGUAGCCAAGGAGGAAGCCCCGGCUAACUACGUG
rnacentral:rRNA from 1 species